rnacentral:rRNA from 1 species
UUCAACGGCCGCGGUAUCCUAACCGUGCAAAGGUAGCGUAAUCACUUGUCCCUUAAAUAGGGACCCGUAUGAACGGCUAAAUGAGGAUAAAACUGUCUCCUUUAACAAAUCAGUGAAACUGAUCUACCAGUACAAAAGCUGGUAUAACCCCAUAAGACGAGAAGACCCUGUGGAGCUUCAAAUUUAAACCAAACUACCAAUACAAACACAGUCCAUGGCUAAAAAUUUUAAGUUGGGGCGACUUCGGAAACAAACCAAACUUCCGAGCAUAAGACUAUGUCUCACUAAGACCAACAAGUCAAAGCUAUAACUUGACCCAGUACAACUGAUAGCCGAACCAAGUUACCCCAGGGAUAACAGNGCAAUCUUCUUCAAGAGUCCCUAUCGACAAGAAGGUUUACGACCUCGAUGUUGGAUCAG